ensembl:lncRNA
GUGAAACUUUGUUCUAGAGGGAUCAAGGAUGGGUACCUGCGAAUAUGAAAGACUCUUAAGAUGCUAUUGAAAUUUUCUUUCUAGGCAAAGAUUCUGCUUAGAUUUGAUUUUGUUUAAAAGAUGUUUCUGAUAGGGCCAUUCAGAGAUGGAUGCUUGUGAUGAUUUCUGACAGAAUUUCUUUGUAAAGCUCUUUAGGGCUUCUUUAAAACACAUUUUGCUGAACUUUAAAAUGAGAAGCAUCUGUCUGCUCCGAGCUAUCUCGACCUGGUGUUAGUCUGCCUUCAGCCACUUUAAUGAAGCUGUUAGAGUGACAGAGUGUGCUACUGGGCGCAGCUCUGGGGACAUGGGUCAGGAACCUCUCUAGCAGCAUCUUUGUGAUGAAGCCAUCAGCCAUGGGGAUGUCUGUCUCCUUACCCACUGCUGGCCCCAACUCUGCAUGUUCAGAGGGCUGGAGGAAGUUUAAUUACAGCAGCAUCUCAGGCCGAAUCAUCACCAGGAGAAUAAAAAGUAUGCCCCCAUGGGACCACUGGCAGUAUCAAGACCUAGGACAUAUCCAUUGCCUUAGGAGUUUACUUGGGGCUCUUUCCCAGCCAUUACACCCACCAUCCAAGGCGAUGUCUACUUUGACCUCCAAAAGCACACAUCAGCUUUUCCCAUUCUUGUUCUUCAUAUAAAUGGAAUUAUACAGAGGAUGAGAUCAUUGUCCUAGCUAUUUCAAGAGUAGAGUCAGCA